GGUUGCCCGGGCAGUGCGUGGCUGGAACCACCAGCUGCUUCAUCCCAUGGCCAGGGGUGGCGUCCAGGUGGCAGAGCACCUAGGAACUCAAGGCCUGAACCCGGGGCCAGACCCCCUGCACUCCCCAUCAUGGUCAAUGGCCCACCAGUACCUGCCUUACUGUGGGCCCAGGAGAUGGGCCACGUCCUGGCAGGCCGUGCCCGCAAGCUGCUACUGCAGUUUGGGGUGCUCUUCUGUACCAUCCUACUCCUGCUCUGGGUGUCUGUCUUCCUCUAUGGCUCCUUCUACUAUUCCUACAUGCCGACAGUCAGCCACCUCAGCCCCGUGCAUUUCUACUACAGGACCGACUGUGAUUCCUCCGCCUCCUUACUCUGCUCCUUCCCUGUUGCCAAUGUCUCACUGGCUAAGGGUGGACGUGAUCGGGUGCUGAUGUAUGGACAGCCGUACCGCGUUACCUUAGAGCUUGAGCUGCCAGAGUCUCCUGUGAAUCAAGAUUUGGGCAUGUUCUUGGUCACCAUUUCAUGCUACACCAGAGGCGGCCGAAUCAUCUCCACCUCUUCACGCUCCGUGAUGCUGCAUUACCGUUCAAACCUGCUCCAGAUGCUUGACACACUGGUCUUCUCUAGCCUCCUGCUGUUUGGCUUUGCAGAGCAGAAGCAGGUCCUGGAGGUGGAGCUGUACCCAGAAUACAGGGAGAACUCGUAUGUGCCGACCACCGGAGCCGUUAUCGAGAUCCACAGCAAGUGCGUCCAGCUGUACGGAGCCCACCUCCGCAUCCACGCCCACUUCACUGGGCUCAGGUACCUGCUGUACAACUUCCCGAUGACCUGCGCUUUCGUUGGUGUCGCCAGCAACUUCACCUUCCUCAGCGUCAUCGUGCUCUUCAGCUAUGUGCAGUGGGUGUGGCGGGGCAUCUGGCCCCGACACCGCCUCUCUCUGCAGGUAAACAUCCGAAACAGAGACAGGUCCCACAAGGAAGUCCAGCGGAGGAUCUCUGCCCAUCAGCCAGGCACAGGGCCCCAAGGCCAGGAGGAGUCCACUCAGCUGUCACCCAUUACAGAGGAUAGUGAGAGCCGUGCAGAUCCCUCGGAGCCAGAAGGCCAGCUGUCUGAGGAGGAGAAACCAGAUCAACAGCCCCUGAGUGGCGAGGAGGAGCUAGAGCCCGAGGCCAGUGACGGUUCAGGCUCCUGGGAAGAUGCAGCUCUGCUGACGGAGGCCAACCUGCCUGUUUCUGCCCCUGCCCUUGCCCCGGAGACCGUGGGCAGCUCUGAACCCUCCACAGGCACUGUCCGACAGCGCCCCAUUUGCUCUAGUUCCUGAAGAGAAUAGGGCAGAGUCCCCACACUCCAGCCCUCUCCCCCCCAAUCCCUUUCCCUUUCCGGGGCUCCCCCAAUAAACUCUUUUCAUGCCAGCUGCC